CGGAGUGGCGGACGGGUGAGGAAUACAUCGGAAUCUACUCUGUCGUGGGGGGAUAACGUAGGGAAACUUACGCUAAUACCGCAUACGACCUACGGGUGAAGCAGGGGAUCUUCGGACCUUGCGCGAUUGAAUGAGCCGAUGUCGGAUUAGCUAGUUGGCGGGGUAAAGGCCCACCAAGGCGACGAUCCGUAGCUGGUCUGAGAGGAUGAUCAGCCACACUGGAACUGAGACACGGUCCAGACUCCUACGGGAGGCAGCAGGG
rnacentral:rRNA from 1 species